CCUACGGGUGGCAGCAGUGGGGAAUAUUGGGCAAUGGGCGCAAGCCUGACCCAGCAACGCCGCGUGAAGGAAGAAGGCUUUCGGGUUGUAAACUUCUGUUAAGCGGGAAGAGCAGAAGACGGUACCUCUUGAAUAAGCCACGGCUAACUACGUGCCAGCAGCCGCGGUAAUACGGAGGUGGCAAGCGUUUUCCGGAUUUACUGGGUGUAAAGGGCGUGCAGCCGGGAAGACAAGUCAGCUGUGAAAUCCCGCGUCUCAACCGCGGAACUACAUUUGAAACUGUUUUUCUUGAGGGAUGGAGAGGCAGGCGGAAUUCCGUGUGUAGCGGUGAAAUGCGUAGAUAGCACGCAGAACACCGAUGGCGAAGGCAGCAUACCGGCGCCCAACUGACGCUGAAGCACGAAAGCGUGGGUAUCGAACAGGAUUAGAUACCCCUGUAGUC
rnacentral:rRNA from 1 species